rnacentral:tRNA from 1 species
GGAUUGUGGCUCAAUGGAAGAGCGCUCGUCUAGCACAUGCAAGGCCCUGGGUUCGAUCCUCAGCACCA